AGUCUGACGGAGCAACGCCGCGUGAGCGAUGAAGGCCUUCGGGUCGUAAAGCUCUGUUGUUAGGGAAGAACAAGUAUCGGAGUAACUGCCGGUACCUUGACGGUACCUAACCAGAAAGCCACGGCUAACUACGUGCCAGCAGCCGCGGUAGUACGUAGGUGGCAAGCGUUGUCCGGAAUUAUUGGGCGUAAAGCGCGCGCAGGCGGUCCUUUAAGUCUGAUGUGAAAGCCCACGGCUCAACCGUGGAGGGUCAUUGGAAACUGGGGGACUUGAGUACAGAAGAGGAAAGCGGAAUUCCACGUGUAGCGGUGAAAUGCGUAGAGAUGUGGAGGAACACCAGUGGCGAAGGCGGCUUUCUGGUCUGUAACUGACGCUGAGGCGCGAAAGCGUGGGGAGCAAACAGGAUUAGAUACCCUGGUAGUCCACGCCGUAAACGAUGAGUGCUAAGUGUUAGAGGGUUUCCGCCCUUUAGUGCUGCAGCUAACGCAUUAAGCACUCCGCCUGGGGAGUACGGCCGCAAGGCUG
rnacentral:rRNA from 1 species